GAUGAACGCUAGCUACAGGCUUAACACAUGCAAGUCGCAGGGUAACAUUAGGAAAGCUUGCUUUCCUUGAUGACGACUGGCUCACGGGUGAGUAACGCGUAUCCAACCUUCCCAUAACUACUUGCUAACCCGUUUAAAUACGGCCUAAUACCGUAUGAUAUCGUUUGCUGACAUCAAAUAACGAUUAAAUGUUUAGCGGUUAUGGAUGGGGAUUCGUCUGAUUAGCUUGUUGGCGGGGUAACGGCCCACCAAGGCGACGAUCAGUAGGGGUUCUGAGAGGAAGGUCCCCCACAUUGGAACUGAGACACGGACCAAAAUCCUACGGGAGGCAGCAGUGAGGAAUAUUGAUCAAUGGGCGAGAGACUGAACCAGCCAAGUAGCGUGCAGGACGACGGCCCUAUGGGUUGUAAACUGCUUUUAUGUGGGGAUAAAGUGAGUGACGUGUCAUGCAUUGCAGGUACCAAAUGAAUAAGGACAGGCUAAUUCCGUG
rnacentral:rRNA from 1 species